rnacentral:rRNA from 1 species
AGGGUUUGAUUCUGGCUCAGGAUGAACGCUGGCGGCGUGCCUAACACAUGCAAGUCGAGCGAGGGUUUGCUCAGUAUUGAGUAUUCUAAGUCUAGAAUGUUCAAUUCUGAGCAAAACCAAGCGGCGGACGGGUGAGUAACGCGUGGGUAACCUGCCCUAUACACAUGGAUAACAUACUGAAAAGUUUACUAAUACAUGAUAAUAUAUAUUUGCGGCAUCGCAGAUAUAUCAAAGUGUUAGCGGUAUAGGAUGGACCCGCGUCUGAUUAGCUAGUUGGUGAGAUAACUGCCCACCAAGGCGACGAUCAGUAGCCGACCUGAGAGGGUGAUCGGCCACAUUGGAACUGAGACACGGUCCAA